rnacentral:rRNA from 1 species
UGGGGAAUAUUGCACAAUGGGCGCAAGCCUGAUGCAGCGACGCCGCGUGAGGGAUGACGGCCUUCGGGUUGUAAACCUCUUUCAGUAGGGAAGAAGCGAAAGUGACGGUACCUGCAGAAGAAGCCCCGGCCAACUACGUGCCAGCAGCCGCGGUAAUACGUAGGGGGCGAGCGUUGUCCGGAUUUAUUGGGCGUAAAGAGCUCGUAGGCGGUUUGGCAAGUCGGGUGUGAAAACUCCGGGCUCAACUCGGAGACGCCACUCGAUACUGCCAUGACUCGAGUCCGGUAGGGGAGUGCGGAAUUCCUGGUGUAGCGGUGAAAUGCGCAGAUAUCAGGAGGAACACCGGUGGCGAAGGCGGCACUCUGGGCCGGUACUGACGCUGAGGAGCGAAAGCGUGGGGAGCGAAC